UACGGGGGGAGCAAGCGUUGUUCGGAUUUACUGGGCGUAAAGGGCGCGUAGGCGGCCACCGCAAGUCGACUGUGAAAUCUCCGGGCUUAACCCGGAGCGGUCAAGUGAUACUGUCGUGCUAGAGUGCGGAAGGGGCUACUGGAAUUCUCGGUGUAGCGGUGAAAUGCGUAGAUAUCGAGAGGAACACCUGCGGCGAAGGCGGGUAGCUGGGCCGACACUGACGCUGAUGCGCGAAAGCCAGGGGAGCGAACGGG
rnacentral:rRNA from 1 species